rnacentral:lncRNA from 1 species
GGCAGCUUUCCAGCCACUCCUCUGCAGGCCUGUAGGGUUGCCUGGGGUUGUUGUGACCAAAAUGCAGGACCUGACACUUGGCCUUCUUGAAACUCAUACAGUUUACCUUGGCCCAUCAUUCUGGUCUACCCAGGUCAGUAGUUGAUAAAUAAAAUAAUGCUGUAAUACAGCCUUAAAUGAAGUUCUGACUUCAUCAUCAUUUCUUCAGUUUCCCUGCAUUGGUUCUCUUGUGGUUUGUUGAAUAUGGGGGGAUUACCUAUAAGGCUGUUUCCAUCUAAUGCAACAGUGCUGUAACUUGACUGAUGGACUUAGUUUGUGUACUCCAAAGCGUGCUUAAUAAGUGGCAAGGACAGAUGUAUAGAUGCCUCUGCCCUCCAUAGUAUCAAGGGACUAUUAGCUACAGCUUGGAGUUCCCCUUAUCUAUUACAAAACACUGUAGGCUCUCUUCCUAUCUUUCUCCAGCCGUUCCUAACAGAAAACCCGUUUAGAAGUUGAACUUCUUUAUAAACACAUACUGUAAGAAAACUUGAGGAUGGUCUGAAGCUGAAGGCCAUGUGAGAAGACUUUCUGACAUACAUAUAUAUGGCUGAGAGAAUUGGGUUUGGC